rnacentral:sRNA from 1 species
AGUUGCAUAGCUGCCUGGCAUGUUACUGGAGGUACUUUGCAGUCAUUGCUGGGAUUUCACUGAUGUGACCCCAACGCUGCCUCUCUCUCCACACCACGAUGUCGGAAGAAACUCAACAGAGUAAAUUGGCUGUGGCCAAGAAAAAGAAUGGGAAGCCAGGCCAAUGAGAACAGCCACUUGUCAUCAGGCUGUCCCUUUAGGAGUCACUGAAAGGGCCCCAGGAUGUGGUGAGGAGGGCCCCAGGCACUAGAAUUAAGAGAAGAUCUAACUUGCCACCAGAUUGCUCGGUGACCACAGAAAAAUCACUUCUUCCCCUGGGCCUCAGUUUUCUCCUCUUCCUCGAGCCGCUGUGAAGCAGUCCUCAAGUGGCAGUUAUGGCAGUCGGUAAAGGCUCGGGCACAGCUGGAAGCACACGUGACACAGAUGAUGGAACAAGUCCAGCUAGAGACAGAUGAAUAUGCUCAACAUCUAAAAGGAGAGAGGGCCCGGUGGCAGCAGAGGGUAUGGAAAAUGUCAGAGGAGGUUUGCACAUGGAAGGAGGAGAAGAAGCAUGACAGGCAUCGGGUACAGGAGCUGGAGAGGACUGAACCCCUGCCCCCGGAGCCCCCAGCAGGGCCCUCUGAGGUGGAACAGCAGCUACAAGCUGAGGCCGAGCACCCGAGGAAGGAGCUGGAGAGUCUGGCAGGACAGCUCCAAGCUCAGGUGCAAAACAAUCAAGGCUUGAGUCACCUGAACUGGGAGCAGGAGGAGAGGCUGCUGGAACGGGAGAUGCUGCGGGAGCAGGAGAGGCUGCAGGAGCUGGAGCACGCGCUCUCUCAGAACCAUGAGCUCGACUAGCAGCUGGCUGGGCCACAGAGCGGCUUAGAGGAGCUGGUGGCGUUUUUCAACUCCGCUGGAGCCAGUGCCCAGGAGGAGCAGGUAUGGCUUAUGUGGGCAGCUGAAGGAGCAAAGGGUGUGGUGCCAGCGCCUGACUCACCCAGGUGGCCUUGGCCCAGAAGGAGCCAGAGGUAGUGGAACCAGCCCCAGGGACUGGGUAUGAGUCUGUGUGUGGGUAGACUCAUCAGGCCCUGCAGGGGUCCAUGGAGAAGUUGCAGAGCGGCUUUAUGGACCUCCUGAAGGAGAAGGUGGACCUGAAGGAGUGGGUGGAGAAACUAGAGCUUCGAUCCAUUCACCUCUCAGGACAGACAGACACCAUCAGAAAGUAAAUCACAACAUAUGCGGGCCAGAGGGCAGUGCCACAGACGCCGCACCAGGAGGAGGAGGACAUCAUCAGGCUGGCCCAGGACAAAGAGGAGAUGAAGAUGGGGCGUGCAGCACCUCUGUGGGGGUAGGGGUGGGGUGGGCAUGAGCGAGGCCAGGGGCACUGGCACCAGCGUGGCAGCUGAGCACCCCUCCCUUCAGGUGAAACUGCUGGAGCUGCAGGAGCUGGUGUUGCGGCUUGCAGGCGAUCACAACGAGGGGCAUGGCAAAUUCCUGGCCGCUGCCCAGAACCCUGCUGAUGAUCCUGCUCCAGGGGCCCCAGCCCCUAAGGAGCUUGGGGCUGCUGACAAGCAGGGUGAUUUUUGUGAGGUGAGCCGACAGCCUGGAGCCUGCACCAGGAGAGGCCAGGGAGGGUUGUCCCCAUGACAACCCCACUGCACAGCAGCUCAUGGAGCUGCUUCCUGAGAUGCAGGACCCCCAGGAGUACCCAGGCUUGGGCAGCAGCCCCUGCAUGCCAUUCUUUUACCAGGCUGCCAAGAACAGGGAGCUAAACAUCACCAUCAUCUAGGAGCUGGUCAAGAAAUUAAAAAAGAAGAAAAAAAAGUUAUGGGGUUAAUCUCCUACACAAUUCAUUUACUUCAUUUGAAUGUU